rnacentral:rRNA from 1 species
UGCAGUCGUACGAGGGUUUUUACUCAAGUGGCGGACGGGUGAGUAACACGUAAGAAUUUGCCUUUAGGAGGGGGACAACAAUUGGAAACGAUUGCUAAUACCCCAUAUGCUUUCGAGCCUAUAUGCUUUCGAGUGAAAUGGAUUUUUCCGCCUAAAGAGAAGCUUGCGGCUGAUUAGCUUGUUGGUAAGGUAAUGGCUUACCAAGGCGACGAUCAGUAUCUGGUUUGAGAGGACGAUCAGACACACUGGAACUGAGACACGGUCCAGACUCCUACGGGAGGCAGCAGUGGGGAAUUUUCCGCAAUGGGCGAAAGCCUGACGGAGCAAUCUCGCGUGAGGGAUGACGGCCUAUGGGUUGUAAACCUCUUUUUUCAGGGAGGAAUAAAAUGACGUGUACCUGAAGAAUAAGCAUCGGCUAACUCCGUGCCAGCAGCCGCGGUAAGACGGAGGAUGCAAGUGUUAUCCGGAAUCACUGGGCGUAAAGCGUCUGUAGGUGGUUUAAUAAGUCAACUGUUAAAUCUUGAGGCUCAACCUCAAAAUCGCAGUCGAAACCAUUAGGCUAGAGUAUAGUAGGGGUAAAGGGAAUUUCCAGUGGAGCGGUGAAAUGCGUAGAGAUUGGAAAGAACACCGAUGGCGAAGGCACUUUACUGGGCUAUUACUAACACUCAGAGACGAAAGCUAGGGUAGCAAAUGGGAUUAGAUACCCCAGUAGUCCUAGCCGUAAACAAUGGAUACUAGAUGUUGAACAGAUCGACCUGUGCAGUAUUAAAGCUAACGCGUUAAGUAUCCCGCCUGGGAAGUAUGCUCGCAAGAGUGAAACUCAAAGGAAUUGACG